rnacentral:lncRNA from 1 species
CCAGAACUGCGUAUUUGUCUAGCAAAUUAGACUUCUUAGAAUGAGAGAAGACUCUUGUCUCUCAUUUUUAAAGUGAAGAAGAGGAACAGGGUCAGAUUGAACUACAAGAGAAGGUAAGUAUUAGAGGCAUGGAAUCCUCUUGGAGCUGGGGAUACAAGGGUGUCAGAACACAGGGC